GUCUCCCUUCAGUCGAAAACUAGAUCUUUGGAGUUUCCUAGAUAUCCCUCGAAGUCGCCUAGUCAAAUACCCUUUACUGUUAAAAGAAAUUCUUAAACACACUCCAAAAGAGCACCCUGAUGUUCAGCUUCUGGAGGAUGCUAUAUUGAUAAUACAGGGAGUCCUCUCUGAUAUCAACUUGAAGAAAGGUGAAUCCGAGUGCCAGUAUUACAUCAACAAGCUGGAGUACCUGGAUGAAAAGCAGAGGGACCCCAGAAUCGAAGCUAGCAAAGUGCUGCUGUGCCAUGGGGAGCUGCGGAGCAAGAGUGGACAUAAACUUUACAUUUUCCUGUUUCAAGACAUCUUGGUUCUGACUCGGCCCGUCACACGGAACGAACGGCACUCUUACCAGGUUUACCGGCAGCCAAUCCCAGUCCAGGAGCUGGUCCUAGAAGACCUGCAGGAUGGAGAUGUGAGAAUGGGAGGCUCCUUUCGAGGAGCUUUCAGCAACUCAGAGAAAGGUAAAAUGUAGGCCUUAAAUAAUUUAAAGAAAUAGAAGCUCAGAACUGAAGUGAAUUUAGUUUUGCCUUUAAGAAUUCUAGAGAUGAAAUGGCUCCAUUGUCCUACACUUGUUACAUCCAUUGAGUUGCCCAGGCCUCCCAGCUCGAACACCCGCAGGUGUAUCUAAGAACUAAUGCAUAGGCUUAAUGUAUUCACAUUGACAUAAAUAAAUUGCCAUAAAUUGACAGUCAUGUGAAGAUUGUAUGACCACUUUGU
rnacentral:sRNA from 1 species